rnacentral:tRNA from 1 species
UCCCUGUUGGCUCAGAUGGUAAAGCGUCUGCCUGCAGUGCAGGAGACCCGGGUUCGAUCCCUGGGUUGGGAA